UCCCUGGUGGCUCAGAUGGUAAAGCAUCUGCCUACAAUGCUGGAGACCCACGUUCAAUUCUUGGGUUGGGAA
rnacentral:tRNA from 1 species